rnacentral:rRNA from 1 species
AUUGAACGCUGGCGGCAGGCCUAACACAUGCAAGUCGAACGGAGAGGCGGACGGGUGAGUAAUGUCUGGGGAACAGCCUGAGGGAGGGGGAUAACUACUGGAAACGGUGGAUAAUAUCGCAUAACAUCAGGUAUGCACCGAUGGAUUAGCUAGUUGGGGGGGUAAAGGCCUACCAAGGAGACGAUCCGUAGCUGGUCUGAGAGGAUGAUCAGCCACACUGGAACUGAGACACGGUCCAGACUCCUACGGGAGGCAGCAGUGGGUAAUAUUGGACAAUGGGCGAAAGCCUGAUCCAGCCAUGCCGCGUGUGUGAAGAAGGUCUUCGGAUUGUAAAGCACUUUAAGUGAGGAGGCGUUACCAACAGAAUAAGCACCGGCUAACUUCGUGCCAGCCGCCGCGGUAAUUC